rnacentral:rRNA from 1 species
AGUGAACGCUGGCGGUAGGCCUAACACAUGCAAGUCGAACGGCAGCACAGUAAGAGCUUGCUCUUACGGGUGGCGAGUGGCGGACGGGUGAGGAAUACAUCGGAAUCUACUUUUUCGUGGGGGAUAACGUAGGGAAACUUACGCUAAUACCGCAUACGACCUACGGGUGAAAGCAGGGGAUCUUCGGACCUUGCGCGAUUGAAUGAGCCGAUGUCGGAUUAGCUAGUUGGCGGGGUAAAGGCCCACCAAGGCGACGAUCCGUAGCUGGUCUGAGAGGAUGAUCAGCCACACUGGAACUGAGACACGGUCCAGACUCCUACGGGAGGCAGCAGUGGGGAAUAUUGGACAAUGGGGGCAAGCCUGAUCCAGCCAUACCGCGUGGGUGAAGAAGGCCUUCGGGUUGUAAAGCCCUUUUGUUGGGAAAGGAAAGCAGCAGGUUAAUACCCCGCUGUUCUGGCGGUACCCAAAGAAUAAGCACCGGCUAACUUCGUG